GACGAACGCUGGCGGCAUGCCUAACACAUGCAAGUCGAGCGAAGUCUUCGGGCGUAUUGUCGCCCGGCUUUGUAACACGUGGGAAUAUACAUUACGCGAGAGGAUAACAUCAAGAAAGUGAUGCUUAUAGGACAUACGCCCUACUGGGGAAAAAUUUAUCGGCCAAAAAUGAUCCCUCGUCCGAUUAGCUAGUUGUGUAGGUAAUGGCUCACCAAGGCUCGGAUCGGUAGAUGGUCUGAGAGGAUGACCAGCGACACCGGGACUGAGACACGGCCCAGACUCUUCCGCGAGGCAGCAGUGGGUAAUAGUGGAAAAUCGCCGCAAGCAUGAUCGAGCUAUGCCGCGUGAGUGAUGAAGGUAUUAGGGUUGUAAAGCUCUUUCACCCACGCCGAUGAUGACGGUAGUGGGAGAAGAAGCCACGGCUAACUUCGUG
rnacentral:rRNA from 1 species